ensembl:misc_RNA RNase_MRP RNase MRP
GGUCUUGCUGAAGGCCUGUUUCCUAGGCUACACACGGGGGACAGGUUCCUUGUUCUUCUGCGUAGGGGACAGUCCCCGGACCUCGGGCAGAGAGUGCCACGUGCACGCGCACGUAGAUAUCCCUCCGUUUCUCAUUGUUCAAACCCGCCGAGAAGCGGUUCUCGCCCAGGAGCGUGGCGCGGAGGCGUCGUCUGUCAGCUCAACUAGUUACCCGGGCAGUGCGUGCCUUAGUGCACCAACCCCGUGGGGCUCCUUCUCAGCACGGC